CUCCCUGACAAAUAGCAAUGAAGAGAACAGAGUCCUCAUUUUCAUAGCUGCAAGGAACUGAAUUCUGCCAACAAUCUGAAUAAACUUGGAAGAAGACCCUGAGCUCCAGACAAGAAAGCAGCCUGACCAACACUCUGAUCUGAACUUUGUGAGACAGCAGGCAGAGGACCCUGUUUGAACUUCUGAUCUACAGAAACUGUAAGAUUACCACUGGAUUACAGCACAUCGACAUCUAAUUUCAGCUUUAUUACAUUGGCAUCUAGCAAAAAUCUCUAUGCUGUGUUCAUGAAAAAAGGAUAUUCUACACAUUAAUCAGGCAGUGUCAAGAACUAAGCGUUAAAAUACUGCUGAAGAUGAAAUCAGAAGCCCUGCUCAUGUGCUGUGACCUUGGGCUACAGGCUCUGCCAUUGAACUAAGACCAAGGAUUUGAUGGUUCUCUCACUGUCUUUGACUUCACGCUGACACAACCAUUGUGAAUAAUUUCACCUGCUGCUACAUCAUGCCCUUAAGAUCACAAAUGACUGAUACCCAUCUAGAGAACCAACUGAAACUGUGAAUCUCCAUGCUGCAACCAAAUAUUCAAAUGCUUUCCAAUGAAAAACAGACACAACAAAGUUAUUAAACAGAGAAAAUUAUCAACGGGUCCUGGUUAGCUGUUUAUUAGCCUCUAGACUGCAGCCUCUCUGAAGCUCACCUUAAAAUGGGUCUGGUGCAAAAUUGCUUUUGGCAUUUAUGAUAUCUCAGGCUUGAAGGAUCAUAGGACUUUUUUUUUUUCCUGUUGCUGUUUCCCACCAAAAAAGAUACAUCUAGUAACCUAAGGCUGAAUAAUAUUAAUAGAGUUUCUCAAUGCCACUCUUCUUAGUGAUGGUUAUGAUACAGUUGGAAUGUUUUUCACAAAGUUUUAGGCCUGCCUGUAGAUGCCUCUUAAAUCAGUAGCAAGAAAGUCAUAUAAGCUAUAAUUCCAGGCCUCUCAAUUCUUGUUUUCAUGUCUUUGCAAGGGACUCAUUAUCUUUGUACUUUUUAAGAGUUUUAUUAGGGGUAGGAAGUCUAAUCUUUCAUAUGCUUUUCAAAUGUUAACCUGAUACAAAAUUUGUAUUUCAUAACCAAACUUCACCCAGGGAGGCAAGAGGGAGCAGUCACUGUGAACCACUCCCCCGGCACAUAAAUUCCACUCCCACUGUUACAAACACAGAAAUGUGCAUGACUUUGGAGGUUGCCAACACUCAAUGACCUGCUUUGCAGGUUUACUAUCCAGACCUGGCCUUUCUAUAAUAGUUACUUAAUGCUCGGAUUGGAAUAUACUGAAACUUCUGUCUUUGCUACUCCUAUCUCCCCUAAGUAGUUCAUCCUGCCCUGUCCAGUUGAGAACUUACACUCUCACACAGAGUAGUUGAUUGGGAAGUGUUUAGACAAGUAAGAAGUAUAUAGCCAAGCUACCUCAAUGACUGAGAGGACACACAUAGCAAAAUAUUAUGGAUCAUGCCCACUAUCCACACUCAAACCACCACAUGACACAUCUCAAGGGCCAUGAAUGUACAUUUUCCUUGUUCUAAAGAAUAAGAGAGAGUGGGUAGACUAUGGACUCUCUGUACUGUUUAAUAACCACAUUUUGUGUUAACAUAAGGUUGUAUUAGUUUGCUGUAAUUGCCAUUACAAAAUGUCACAAAAUUGCAUAGCUUAAAAAAGAUAAUUUUUAUUGUUUCACAAUUUUGGAAGCUAAAAGUCUGAAAUCAUGGUGUUGGAAGGAUUGGUUCCUUCUAAUGGCUCUAAAUUAAGAAUAUGUUCUGUUCCAUUCCUCUUUCCUGGGCUUGUAGAUAGCUGUCUUCUCCCUAUAUCUGUCUAUUUGCAUCAUCUUUCUUCUAUGUAUAUAUGUCUCUGUUUAAAUUGUAGCUUGUUGUAAGGACACAAAUUAUAUUGGAUUAAGGACCACUCUAAUGACCUCAUUUUAACUUGAUUAGCUCUGUAAAGACCCUGUCCCACAAAUAUGGUCAAAAUCCCAGGAUAUUGGGGACUAUAAAUAUUACAUUUGAGGGGACACGAUACUACCCAUAAGAAAGAGUAUGGAAUAAUUUAGACAUGGCCCCCCCCAUACACAUGUACACACAGAGUCUAUUGAUAUUAAUGUAAAAUACUGAUACUACUCUUGAGUCAGUUGGGCCAAUCAUUUGUCUCACCCCAGGCCAGAAAUUUAAUCUGCAUUAAAAUGUACAGAUAGACUAGGGAAGUAUUAAUAUUUUCCUGAUUGACAGCCAUUAAAAAUAGAAAAAGUUACACAAUCACUAAAGUUAUUUGACCUUAUACCGCUGAUAUUUUAGAGUGUAAAACUCUAGAUUGAGAGUUGGGGCCCCUAACAGUAGAAAGCUAGAAGAUAUUAUUGAUUAAGAUAAUUCUUCCACCUUUUUACUGAAUAGUAUUGCUACUGUCUGAUUCUCAUGUUGUAACUCAUGUUUCUAAAGCAUCAUCUGUCCCUCUUCAUAUACUGAAUACAGCUUAGAGCCCUUAAUAGCAGAAGUAUAAAAGUUCUAUGGAAGUAUAAAACAUGCCUAGGUACGUAGGAUAUUUCUUACUUUUUGUGUUUCCUGAUUAUUUUAUAUUUGAAUGGAUGGCUUUAGAAACUAAAUAUGAACUAAUCUCCAUUGUGCAUGUCAUUAGAAAGAACUGAAGAGUUUAGCCAGUCAACUUCCACCUUUGCACUAAAUACAGAUGUCUCCUUGAUAUUCAAAUUAACCCUGAAGAUUAAGUCCCUUUAUGUCAAUGCUUUGCAAUUUUGUUUUAUGCCUCUUUGUCUUUCACAUGCUUAGUACAUAUGCAUAAGUCAUAUCAAUCAAUAGGGUAAGGAGACAUGUCCCAAGGAGUGACUGAGAAUCGAUUUUCAAUAUAGUGGUAGUAACAUCUCAUGAAUCCAAGUAUUAACUAUCAUCAUCUAGAUGAGGGAAGUACAAUAGUCAACCUUGCUUUGCUGUUUAUAUUCAGUGCUCUAAGUAUGUAAUUAUGCACACCCUACCUGAUUCUGAAAAAUGAUUUGAGAUAGUCUAUACAAUGAACUCAAUCCAACAAUAUAAAGGUAGCCUGAAGAAAUUGGAAUAAAGUAAAAGAAAGAUUAGUAAAAUAAUAUAUAUACAACUGUGUUCACUCUGUAAAAUACAUAACAACAAUACAUUAUACUAAAGAAGGAUUUAAUCCACACAUUAUAAAAGAUGAAUUAUCAUUAGACUAUCAGGCAAUGUAGUUCUACACUACAGAAAAGAACAUGUAAUUACAGUAUAUUGAUAAAUGUUAUAAAUGCAUUAUAUAAACUUUAAUACUUUUCAUGAUUACAAAUUUUAAAAACACUAGUUAUAGAAGGAAUUUUCUUGACACAAUAAAUACUUCAUACUUAAAGACAUCAUAUAUAAUGGAGAAAAUAUACGACAUUCCAUCCCUUGCCAAUUGCUCUUUUGUUUUACUUACUUCUCUGGGUUGUCAGAAAUUCCACAUCUGGAAUAUUUUCUCUAGUUUGUUUUACAAGCUUUGAACUCAUGACUCAUUGACACCAUCCAAUCAAUAAUAGUCUCACUUUUGGCAAUGUCUGUCUCUUUUUGAGGCUAGCCUUUAUAUGCCUUCCAAGGAGAUAAUUAGCUAAUAAAGAAAACUACAAUUUGCAAAUGGGAAAACUGAAGAUUUAUGAAAAUUUGAAGUUUUAAUUGAUUCAAACAAUUAACUCCUUGUUUGUAACUAUCUUCAUGGUUGGGUGUGCAAUUUUCAUAAAGAUUUUACAUUCUUGUUUUUAUGUGAAUAUGAAUGUUUGAUAUAUGUACAUACGUGUAUUAUAUGUAUAAUAUCUAGAAAGACAUUUCUCCACACUAAAUAUAUGUUAUUCUCAAAUGAUGCUUAUGAGUACUUGGUUUGAGUUUUAUUGUCAGAACAUAAUUGGAGGUAUUAAGAAUACAGAUUCUGUAAGAUAUUUCUAACAAAAAUAUUGAUCAUAUUGACCAUGACCAUAUACAUAUAUGUAUAAAAGAUAUAUAUACACAUAUAUAAUCUAUAUAAAAGAAAUUUGGGAAAGAGGAAGAUAUAAAUAGGAAAAAUAGGAAAAUUUGGAGUCCUUAAGAUUACAAAACAACAGUGACAGUUCUUAAUAUAGUUUCUCAUAACUGUUGCAAUUACUAGAUCAAUGGUUCUCAACCAGGGCUAUACAUCAUGGUUAACAUUAGAAGAUUUUUUUGAUAUUUUGUUUUAGUAUUUUGUGUGUGUAUGUGUUUGAAUGCCUUCCUUUCUUUUUUCUUUUUCUUUUUCUAGAGGCUUUCAUACCUCACCCUAUAAUUACUGAAUCAGAAUCUCAGAAAAUCAGAAUUACUUAUAAUUCUAAGUAGUUAAAAUUGCUCAGAGUUUCUAGUAUUCUUUUAAGAUACAUAUAGCAACACAAAUAGGUGUUAAAAUACAUUAAGCAAAAGCAAAUCUUAGGCACAGUUUAAUCUAAAUAAAUGUUUCAAAACAAAUAUAAAAACAGCUCUCUAUUUUUUAAAUGAAACUCAUAUCAAAAGAAAUAUAACAAAGUAGGUGAUUAUGAUGAUGGGUUGAGAAUGGGCCUCAGAAUUAGAGAACAGAGAGGAGAAAUGACAUAAAGUAAAAUAAUAGAGAAAUCUUGCAUGAAUUUAUAUUUGUGGUAAAAACUAAGUCAUUCACUGAAACAAUUUCCUUUUACUGGACACAAAGGAAGACUGAAGACCCCAUGUAAGUAUGCUAGAGUCAUGUGAGUUCUAGGCAAUGAAAAGUGGUAGAAGUGACAUAUAGCAUUUUAGGCCUGAUCAUUACACCUUAUGUGUGAUCACCCUAUUGUUCUCUUUUUCUUUUCUUGUGAGUUAAUCCACAUCACAAGAUGAUAAGAUCCCAGAGACCUGAGUCAUCAGUCAGAGAAAAGCUACCACGUAGAGCCUGCCUGACUCAUACUGAACUGUGACAUGGGUGAAAAUUAAUCAUUUAGGCUGUGAAGCUAAUGAGAUGUUUUGUUGUUGGACUGGCCAUCGCUAAUCACUCUAACAAAAUGAUGAUGGUGUGCCAUGCAAUAAAGAAUAUAAUUAAAUAUGAUUUCUGUUUCUCUGAAGAAAAAUAUUUAUAAAAACAAAGAUGAUGAGAAAAAUAAUUUACAUAUUAGUCUUUUACAAAGGCACCAUGGAAACCAAUGUUUGUAUGUACUAUUGU